ACAUAGCGAGCUGUUCACAAAUACCUGUCACCAGAAAGGGUAAUAAGCAAGACGAGAGUGAUUUCAACCAAUCGCAAGCUAUGUGCUUGACACCUUUACAGGUCUUUUGGGAGAGGGGUGGGAAAAGCUGCUCUGGGCACGAAUGUUAAGCCACGCGAAACUCUAAGGAGGGAGUCUCACAAGAACUGCUGUCCUAAGCUGGUACUACUCUUUCCUCAGGUGGCUGCUCUGCUCUCUGGGCAAUUUCAAAGCCUGAUUGACAAGUUCUACGUCCUUGACUGCCACUAUCCCUGUGAGUAUAAGGGGAUAUAUCAAGAUGAGGGAGCUGGGUAAGGUGGUGGUUGAGGGGCUGAGGAGGCAAAAGGGUUGUGGAUGAAGACACUUAAAGAUGAAGCAAAAUUAUGGGAGGUAGAGCGAUUGGGGUAUUAGAUGAUUUUGUAAGAGCAGGCUGUUGAACAAGGCAGUGCUUCUGUGGACUAAUGUCUGUCUUCCCCAGAGAAUAUACCAUCAGAAUACUCUGGCACAGUAUAGCUUUCUAGCCAGUUUCUCUGUGUUACAGAAUGGUAUAAAAAAGGUGGCAAACGUGGACUGCUAAUUUCACAGAGAAUUCUACAGUGUCUAGCAAUUUGUGGCAUCUGUGUGUAUAAUAGUCCUUGGUAGGACUUUCUCCCAUAAAUGUUUCCGUCUUAUUUUUUUCAAAUCUGUGUGAUUUUCUAGCUUUCAUACUUCCCCAUAACAGAGUUCUGAAGCUUUGCCUUAUCCUAUGUGAGCUGAACCUUACACUGUUUUUUCUUUUGGUUUCUACAGUGUCUAUACAGAGCCUGUAGUUUUCCAUUUCAAGGCACUCAGGGGUUUAUAGACUUAUGUCAGAUCCUUCUUAGUAAUUUCUUGACUGAAGAACCUCUGUGUAUUCACCUCUUCCAUGCUGGGAAACUAUUUUGUACUUUGAUCACCCCUGCCUUGUACCUCUUCCAUCUCUGUAACAUUCUUUUGAGUUAGAGGACCCAGAAGGACUUAAUAUAGUUGCAUUAUGAUCUUCUCUGUUUUGUUGUUUGUUCUUAAUAUUUGAUUAGGUUUUAGUUUGGGUUUUGCCAUUACUGAGUUCAUGAGAACAGAUAUAAUAGGCAGUUCUGUGAAACUCUGAAGACCUUCCUCCCAAAUAGUCUGUGUGAUCACUGUUUAUGUAAAGUUAGCAUUGCUUUCUCCCCAUCUCCCUGUAUAAGCUAACAUAAAUAAAGAUACUCAUGGAGUGCUGGACUCCUAGUUGUUUCAGCCACUAGACUAUGGUCCCUGUCUCCCCUGUAAGUGCUGGCAUGGAUAAACAAUGAUUCUGGCCACACUGAGAACAUGCUGGCUUCCAUGAUACACUAUCUAGUUUUGUCUGCCCAGCAUCCCACAGUAAUAACCACUUGACAUAAUGCAUUUUCCUUCUGUUCACCAGGAACUCUGAACCCCAGAUCUAUUGUCCAAUGCAACACCAGGACUUCAAAGCAGUUGCUGAAAUGCCACACCACAAGCAAGUCAUAGACUUUGUAGUGAAGGAAACGGGACCAGAUCACUCGCCUCAUGAAACUGUGAGCACCAAAGCAGUAGCUGGAGUGGAAGCUUCUUAAGAGAGUUCUACCUUCCAGAGCAAAGUUUUCUUCCCUGAAGACAGCUAGACUGUGAUGGUGAAAGAAAGAGAACCUUCCUUGUUCUACUGACAGGGCUAGGACAAAUUAGGAAGUCUGUUUAAAAAAUCUCAGUGCUGCCCCUGUGGGACACUGGCUGAGCAUAAAGCCUCAAAUAAAACAGUACCAUAGCUGCUUAGGGAAAAGAACAAGUUUUCUUCAAUAAAGACUAAGCCAGCUUUCAGGUUGUCUUGUCUGAAGCCUGCAAGGUAGUGUAUGUCAUCAGCUGAGCUCAGCUCUCCUGCUUCAGACAGGACUUCCCAUGUUUCUUUUUAAGACUAAACACUGCUGUGGAUUUUGUUGUUAGUUGUCACUUCUCACUGGUAAAAUAAGGAACUGGAGCAGACUGAAGUGUAUGAGAACUGGACCUUCUUUCCUGUGGCAAUUGAAAAAGCUAGGCAUGCAGGUGCUGAUGGAUAUCUGAAAUGAUUUCUAAGCCCAUCAGUAGCCAGGAUCAGGUAUGCCCAGCAAAUAAGUCUCCAACACCUGCUUCUAUAAGGAUCAACAGUGAGAACUGGAAAAAUAUUAAUUUCUCUACCAUGUCUGUUAAGCCCUUAUUGAUAUGGUCUUCCCAACCUGUGGCUAUUAAACCACAAAAACAUUUUUUUGAGUACUACCUCAGUGUAAUUGGAUUGUUGACAUCUCUGUUUAGAUUCUUUGUGGUGGGGAUGACAAGUCUGAAACGGUUAUCUUUACGUAUAUUUAAAUAGCACCAGCCAGUAGAUGAGGUUAGUAAAAGCAGCUUUCUGUAAGGGAAGUCUUCAAAUUCUAUUUUUGGGAUGUUUUUCCAGCCUCCUGUGCUGCAGCUGAGAGUGGCUGUUUUCAGAGACAGACAAGGACUAGGUGGAAUUCUAUCCUGUGUCUUUCUGCCACUCCAAAAGUUUGGCAUGGUCUCUGAGACUGUAUCUAAUAAGAAAGAUCAGACUAAGCUUUCUUACCCCUCAAAUUAGAAAAUUACCAAGAUAAAGAAAUACUGAUGUUAACUGUAUCAUACACAAUGAGCUUGUAUGUUCUGUUUUACAGCUAAUGUGUUGCCAUAGAGCUCUUGACAAAUAAAAUAAAUAAAUAAAUAAAUAUGUGUGGUAAUAGUAGACAGGGUGGGGGAGGGAAUAUUGCUUUUUCAAAUUCUGUUAGAAUCACAGAAUCAUCUAGGUUGGAAGAGACCUCCAAGAUCCUCUAGUCCAACCUCUGACCUAACACUAACAAGUCCUCCACUAAAGCACAGUUAGGAGCCAGAAUAAAACAAAUUGUAAUCUACCAGUCACGUAUGUUUUAACUUUCUUCUGCCAUAAGGAGUAAUAUUUCUGAGGGCUGUAAUUCUCAGAAGAUGGGUCCAUAUUAAUUUAUCAGCUCUUAACAGAUUUAUUUUAUUUUUGAGCUCAUAUCUAGUAAAACCUAUCUGAGAGGAACAGAGUCUGAAGAUCAUGUACACUAGGAAGAGAGAAACAACAAUUAACACAGAACUGUCACUAGCAGUAUUUUCUACACAGCACUCUGAGCACACUUGUUUAUAAGGGCUGAGGUGACUGAUAGCUGGCUUUCCCCUGCUGCUGUCCAGGGCUUCUGGACACCCUGUGGGGAAAAGACCCACCAGGUGGCACUCCUGCAGCACUACCUGGGGACCAUGGUCAAAAUUCGGUGCAGACAACUGCUUUUCCAGCGCAUCUCACUCCUAGAAGAAAGGAAUUAAGACAGUUUUUUCCUGAGAGAUGUCACAAACAGGAACUGCAAAGUAUAGUAGAAUAUCUAGUGUUCCUGAGCCUUCUUAGGGCUGCAUGAUGGGAUUUUUUCCCCAGGGUGUUAGGUGUGAUAUAGACUCCAGUACAGGAACUCAUGUAUAUGUAUGUUCAUCAAGCAAGCAGAGAUGGUUCUGUACUCCUUUGUGUUACACCCCAACCAUGUGACCAGCCAGUGAACAGGGUCCUGGGGAUCUAGCUAGAACAUCUUUUUUUUUUUUUUCAUCUUCCAUUUUUCAUUUACAAUUAUUAUUUACAAAUUAUCUAGAUCACUGGGGUAAAAGAGGUGCAUGAGCAUACCCAUGAUGGUGCCUCAGCUAUUGGCACAGCUUCCCUUCCGAAUGGGUUAGUUAAAAAAAUGUCUAUAAUGCUACUAAAUGUUAAAUAAGUAAAUAAUAAAACUGGACAGCUUUACCC